GGGGAUGCUCGGUUUCGAUCGGGGGAUUUUAGGUAUAGGUUUCAGGCGGGUCUGGGCACAUCCUUAAACGGCCCAAAACUAUAGUUGCAAACGACAACUACGCUUACGCAGCUUAAUAGCGCGUUUCCAUUCAACUCUUUUUGGUCUUUGAAGUUUUGAUCAUGGUUAUAAAAUAAAGAAAUCGGCAUGCUAUUAGUGAGCUAGUAUGCUUAAAUUUUUCACUUGCGGUAAGAGUAGGUUUGUUUAUCUUCUAAUGCUUACUAAAGUUUUUAAGAUGAACCAAGCUUGUGGAUAAGGCCUAUACUAAAACCUUCGGGACGCGGGUUCGAUUCCCGCCAUCUCCA
rnacentral:tmRNA from 1 species